AGCAGAUAUUAGUAGUAAGCACAAUGUAGUGAUUGUGGGAGAUUUCAACUUUCCACACAUAGACUGGGAAACACAUUCUGUAAAUGGGCUGGAUGGGUUGGAGUUUGUAAAAUGUGUGCAGGAUAGUUUUUUUGCAGCAAUACAUAGAGGUACCUACUAGAGGAGGAGCAGUGUUGGACCUCCUGUUAGGAAAUGAGAUGGGUCAGGUGGCGGAGGUAUGCGUUGGGGAACACUUCGGGUCCAGUGAUCACAAUACCAUUAGUUUCAAUAUAAUUAUGGAGAGGGUCAGAACUGGACCUAGGGUUGAGAUUUGUGAUUGGAGAAAGGCUAACUUUGAUGAGAUGAGAGAUGAUUUAAAAGGAGUGAACUGGGACAUUUUGUUUUAUGGGAAGGAUGUAGAAGAGAAAUGGAGGACAUUUAAAGGGGAAAUUUUAAGAGUAUAGAAUCUUUAUGUUCCUGUUCGGUUGAAAGGAAACAGUAAAAAUUGGAAAGAGCCCUGGUUUUCAAGGGAAAUUGGACAUCUUGUUCGGAAAAAGAGGGAGAUCUACAAUAAUUAUAGGCAGCAUGAAGUAAAUGAGGUGCUUGAGGAGUAUAAGGAGUGUAAAAAGAAUCUUAAGAAAGUAAUUAGAAAAGCUAAAAGAAGACAUGAGGUUGCUUUGGCAAGUAAAUCCAAAGAGUUUCUACAGCUAUAUUAAUAGCAAAAGGAUAACGAGGGGUAAAAUUGGUCCAUUGGAGAGACAGAGUGGACAGCUAUCUGCAGAGCCAAAAGAGAUGGGGGAGAUAUUGAACAAUUUCUUUUCUUCGGUAUUCACCAAGGAGAAGGAUAUUGAAUUAUGUGAGGUAAGGGAAACUAGUAGAGUAGCUAUGGAUGCUAUGAGAUUCAAAGUAAAAGAAGUACUGCCACUUUUGAAAAAUAUAAAAGUGGAUGAGUCUCCAGGUCCUGACAGGAUAUUCCCUAGGACAUUGAGGGAAGUUAGUGUAGAAAUAGCCGGGGCUAUGACAGAAAUAUUUCAAAUGUCAUUGAAACGGGAAUAGUCCCCGAGGAUUGGCGUACUGCGCAUGUUGUUCCAUUGUUUAAAAAGGGUUCUAAGAGUAAACCUAGCAAUUAUAGGCCUGUUAGUUUGACCAGCGGUGGGCAAAUUAAUGGAAAAGAUACUUAGGGAUAAUAUAUAUAAGCAUCUGGAUAAACAGGGACUGAUUAGGAACAGUCAGCAUGGAUUUGUGCCUGGAAGGUCAUGUUUGACUAAUCUUCUUGAAUUUUUUGAAGAGGUUACUAGGGAAAUUGACAAGGGUAAAGCAGUGGAUGUUGUCUAUAUGGACUUUAGUAAGGCCUUUGACAAGGUUCCUCAUGGAAGGUUGGUUAAGAAGGUUCAACUGUUGGGUAUAAAUGCAGGAGUAGCAAGAUGGAUUCAACAGUGGCUGAAUGGGAGAAGCCAGAGGGUAAUGGUGGAUGGUUGUUUGUCGGGUUGGAGGCAGGUGACUAGUGGUUGCCUCAGGGAUCUGUGUUGGGUCCUUUGUUGUUUGUCAUGUACAUCAAUGAUCUGGAUGAAUGUGUGGUAAAUUGGAUUAGUAAGUAUGCAGAUGAUACCAAGAUAGGGGGUGUUGUGGAUAAUGAAGAGGAUUUCCAAAGUCUACAGAGUGAUUUAGGCCAUUUGGAAGAAUGGGCUAAAAGAUGGCAGAUGGAGUUUAAUGCAGAUAAAUGUGAGGUGCUACACCUUGGCAGGCCAAAUCAAAAUAGGACGUACAUGGUAAAUGGUAGGGAAUUGAAGAAUACAGUUGAACAGAGGGAUCUGGGAAUAACUGUGCAUAGUUCCUUGAAGGUGGAAUCUCAUAUAGAAAGCUUUUGGUAUGCUAGCCUUUAUAAAUCAGAGCAUUGAGUAUAGAAGCUGGGAUGUAAUGUUAAAAUUGUACAAGGCAUUGGUGAGACCAAAUCUGGAGUAUGGUGUACAAUUUUGGUCGCCCAAUUAUAGGAAGGAUGUCAACAAAAUAGAGAGAGUACAGAGGAGAUUUACUAGAAUGUUGCCUGGGUUUCAACAACUAAUUUACAGAGAAAGGUUGAAUAAGUUAGGUCUUUAUACUCUGGUGCGCAGAAGUUUAAGGGGGGACUUGAUAGAGGUCUUUAAAAUGAUGAGAGGGAUAGACAGAGUUGAUGUAGAUCAGCUUUUCCCUUUGAGAAUAGGGAAGAUUCAAACAAGAGGACAUGACUUCAGAAUUAAGGGACAGAAGUUUAGGGGUAACAUGAGGGGGAACUUCUUUACUCAGAGAGUGGUAGCGGUGUGGAAUGAGCUUACAGUGGAAGUGGUGGAGGCAGGUUCGUUGGUAUCAUUUAUAAAUAAAUUGGAUAGGCAUAUGGAUGAGAAGGGAAUGGAGGGUUAUGGUAUGAGUGCAGGCAGGUGGGACUAAGGGAAAAAUUGUUCGGCACGGACUUGUAGGGCCGAGAUGGCCUGUUUCCGUGCUGUAAUUGUUAUAUGGUUGUUAUAUGGUUAUACGAUUUCUGUAGUAUUAGGUAUAGAUUUACAACCUCGUCCUAUUACUGCAAUUUUUGGGCUACCAAUGUUAGAUUCUAUUCUUUUGUCCCGCUCCACCCAUCGGUUAAUUGCUUUUACCACAUUAAUCGCCAGAAGAUCUAUUCUAUUUUAAUGGAAAGACUCCAACCCUCCGACUACACUCCAGUGGUAUUCGGAAACGAUAUAAUAUUUAAAUUUAGAAAAAAAAUCAGGAGUGACAUUGUUGAACCCUUGGUUAAAUUUGAUAAAACCUGGGGAAAAUUUAUUGAGCACUUUCAUACAACAUAAAUUGCUCCCUCUUUAACAGUUAUUAAAAUUAUUUUACCUCUAUAGUGUGGAACGGACUUGACGACAAACAAACAUAAAUUGUUGAAAUUCUCAGUUCAGAUUCGGUUUUGCUUUGCUUUGUUUUUUUAUUUAUUUUAUUUUUAUUCUUAUUUUAUUGUUAUAAUUUAUUUUUCUUUAGUUUAGGAGGGUUUUGUUUUUUCCUUUUUUCUUUUUCUUUUUGUCUUUUUAUCUUUGUGUUUUUUUUAAUAUUUAUAUGUUUCCUUUUAAUGAUUGAACUAUAUUUACAUAGAGACCGGGAGUCUAUAUUCAUUGUGUAUUUUGACACUGGUCUCAUAUUAGGUUAUACCUGUUAUUAAUGUAAUCCUGAUCCCUAAGUAUCAAUAUCAUUGUUAUGUUUAUCAUUAUUCUUUUUGCUGUUUUUUCAUGUUUUAUUUUGUGGGUUUUUGGGGGGAAAAAACUAUCAAAA